GCUCAACGGCUGCGGCCCCGUCGAGAUCCGCGUCCUCGGUGCGACCCUAAAACAUUUUGGGGGGGGGUCGGGGUCAUUUAGGGCCUUUUUGGGGUCACCUUUAGGACCUGGAUCCCUUUUGGGGUCAUUUAGGGCCGUUUUAGGGUCACCUUUAGGACCUGGAUCCCUUUUGGGGUCAUUUAGGACUCUUUUGGGAUCAUAUAGGGCCAUUAUAGCGUCACAUUUAGGACCUGGAUCCCUUUUAGGGUCACCUGGGUCCCUUUUUGGGGUCACCUUUAGGACCUGGAUCCCUUUUGGGGUCAUUUAGGGCCAUUGUAGGGUCACCUUUAGGACCUGGAUCCCUUUUGGGGUCACUUUUAGGACCUGGAUCCCUUUUGGGGUCAUGUUUAAGACCUGGAUCCCUUUUAGGGUCACCUAGGGCCCUUUUGGGGUCAUUUCGGACCAUUUUGGGGUCAUUUAGGGUCAUUAUAGGGUCACCUUUAGGACCUGGAUCCCUUUUAGGGUCACCUGGGUCCCUUUUGGGGUCACCUUUAAGACCUGCGUCCCUUUUGGGGUCACCUUUAGGACCUGGAUCCCUUUUUGGGGUCACCUUUAGGACCUGGGUCCCUUUUGGGGUCA
rnacentral:lncRNA from 1 species